UGAUAAAAAUUUCUUCCAUUUCUAUUGUUAAAAAUUGGCAUAGCUGACAGAAUAAUCAAAAAGUAACACAUGACUUGCCACGUAUAUCUCAUGUUGACGUACAAAGACUAGUUUUUAACAGUAGAAAUUGAAGUAACUUUUAAUA
rfam:Gossypium raimondii Chr08_contig_1311, whole genome shotgun sequence.